GAUGAACGCUGGCGGCGUGCCUAAUACAUGCAAGUCGAGCGAACGGACGAGAAGCUUGCUUCUCUGAUGUUAGCGGCGGACGGGUGAGUAACACGUGGAUAACCUACCUAUAAGACUGGGAUAACUUCGGGAAACCGGAGCUAAUACCGGAUAAUAUUUUGAACCGCAUGGUUCAAAAGUGAAAGACGGUCUUGCUGUCACUUAUAGAUGGAUCCGCGCUGCAUUAGCUAGUUGGUAAGGUAACGGCUUACCAAGGCAACGAUGCAUAGCCGACCUGAGAGCGUGAUCGUCAACACUGGAACUGAGACACGGUCCAGACUCCUACGGGAGGCAGCAAAAGGGAAUCUUCCGCAAUGGGCGAAAGCCUGACGGAACAACGCCGAGUGAGUGAUGAAGGUCUUAGGAUCGUCAAACUCUGUUAUUAGGGAAGAACAUAUGUGUAAGUAACUGUGCACAACUUGACGGUACCUAAUCAGAAAGCCACGGCUAACUAAGUU
rnacentral:rRNA from 1 species